UACGGAGGGUGCAAGCGUUAUCCGGAUUCACUGGGUUUAAAGGGUGCGUAGGCGGGCAGGUAAGUCAGUGGUGAAAUCUCCGGGCUUAACCCGGAAACUGCCGUUGAUACUAUCUGUCUUGAAUAUCGUGGAGGUAAGCGGAAUAUGUCAUGUAGCGGUGAAAUGCUUAGAUAUGACAUAGAACACCCAUUGCGAAGGCAGCUAACUACGCGAAUAUUGACGCUGAGGCACGAAAGCGUGGGGAUCAAACAGG
rnacentral:rRNA from 1 species